rnacentral:misc_RNA from 1 species
CCGAAUGUUACCAAACAAACCACUGUGAACCGUCCCUUUAGCUGCUUCGGCGAGGCGAUCCCAGGGCGGGAUCCCGGGCUCCUUACGGGGUGCUCGCCGGCGGCCACUUUCUAGCUCUGUUUCUAGCGGGCUUCUGAGUGUAAACAAAAAAUAAUCA